CUACGGGAGGCAGCAGUGGGGAAUAUUGCACAAUGGGCGCAAGCCUGAUGCAGCGACGCCGCGUGGGGGAUGAAGGCCUUCGGGUUGUAAACUCCUUUCGCUAGGGACGAAGCUUUUUGUGACGGUACCUAGAUAAGAAGCACCGGCUAACUACGUGCCAGCAGCCGCGGUAAUACGUAGGGUGCGAGCGUUGUCCGGAAUUACUGGGCGUAAAGGGCUCGUAGGUGGUUUGUCGCGUCGUCUGUGAAAUUCUGGGGCUUAACUCCGGGCGUGCAGGCGAUACGGGCAUAACUUGAGUGCUGUAGGGGUAACUGGAAUUCCUGGUGUAGCGGUGAAAUGCGCAGAUAUCAGGAGGACACCGAUGGCGAAGGCAGGUUACUGGGCAGUUACUGACGCUGAGGAGCGAAAGCGUGGG
rnacentral:rRNA from 1 species